GGUAUUUACAAAGCUAAAAGUCAAGCAAAAUAUCUUGGAGAACCAGCAAUGGAAUAUCAUCAACAACGUCUCAAAACAGGGGAUUUCAAAGGCAUUUCGCAAGGGGGGAAGAUGAAAGGUCCAAAUUUCGCAAGGUGAAAAGCCACCUUGCGAAAUUUGGCAUUUCGCAAGGUGCCUAAAUCCACCUUGCGAAAUUUCGCAAGGUGGUUUCUUCAUG
rnacentral:lncRNA from 1 species